rnacentral:rRNA from 1 species
CCCCUGUAGAUGGAUAACUUGGGAACUGAGUGUAAUACCAAAUAGGGAACAAGGUGUGGAAUACUCUUGUUCUAGAAAGCUUCGGCGCUUCACGAUCGGUCGGCGGCCCAUCAGGUAGUUGGUGAGGUAAUGGCUCACCAAGCCUAAGACGGGUAGGGGCCAUGAGAGUGGUUGCCCCGAGAAGGACACUGAGAUACUGGUCCUAGCCCUAAGGGGUGCAGCAGGUACGAAAACUCCACAAUGCACGGAAGUGUGAUGGGGGGAUUCUGAGUGCUUACGGUUUACCCGUAGGCUUUUCAUCAGAGCAAAUAUCUGGUGGAAUAAGUGGUGGGCAAGACUGGUGCAAGCCGCCGCGGUAACCCCAGCGCCACAAGUGGGAACCACGCUUAUUGGGUCUAAAGCAUCCGUAGCCGGUUCGGCAAAUGCCCUGUGAAAUCGUUGCGCUCAACGUAACGACGUGCAGGGUAGACUACCGAACUUGGGACCAGAGGAAGAAGACGGUAUUCUCGGGGGAGCGGUAAAAUGUGAUAAUCCCGAGAGGACCACCGAUGGCGAAGGCAGUCUUCUAAUAUGGAUCCGACGGUGAGGGAUGAAAGCUAGGGGAGCGAUCUGGAUUAGAUACCCAAGUAGUCCUAGCAGUAAACGCUGCAUGCCAGAUGUUGCACAAUCUUCGAGAUUGUGCAGUGUCGAAACGAAGGUGUUAAGCAUGCCACCUGGGAAGUACAGUCGCAAGGCUGAAACUUAAAGGAAUUGGCGGGGGAGCAC